UAUUAGGUUGGUGCAAAAGUGAUUGUGGUUUUAGUCAUUACAAUUAUUUUUUAAAUGGCAAAAACCACAAUUACUUUUUCAAAAACCUAAUA
rnacentral:miRNA from 1 species